GGACGCAUAGCUCAGUUGGUUAGAGCACUACGUUGACAUCGUAGGGGUCGGUGGUUCGAGUCCACUUGUGUCCA
rnacentral:tRNA from 5 species